GUCACCUGGAUGUUGGUAUGAAAGGUGGAAUUGCCAUGUCAGGCAGUGGGAGCAGCUCACAAUUACAGGAACUGAAGGAAGUGUCCGACUCACUGGGCCAGAAAGAAUAGUUUCCAGCCAUGUCACAGACUCCAAGUAAUUUCUUUCUAAGCUGACAGGAGAGGUUUAGCCCAGGCAGCUCCUCUUUUUCCAGAGGAGAAUGUGGAUAAUGAACCACCCAAAGAACAGGAGCCUCAGUUCCUGUUAGUCAGAGGGGGAAAACCUGGAGUGUUUCAUGGGCAAAGAGGAGCACACAAAGAACACAAAUCCCUCAUUACCAGAUACAGGGCUGGAAAUAGAAACUGCACCACAACUGAAGAUGCCCAAACUCAGCCUGAAACAGCUGCAGAACAACCCUGACCUAGUUGGGAGUGUGAGGCUCAGCAGCCAAGAGAGGUUUUAUGGCCUUGUGAGCCUCCCCCCUGCCUGUGCCCAGCCUGUGACCCACAGCACCAGCAGCAGGACGUGCUCACAGGACAGGGACAAGAGGAGCACCCCCAACCUUCACAUCUGGACCUGCACAUCUGUACAGUGAGGGCUGGAAAAGGACUCUGUGGAGGAGUGACAGGAGUGGCAGGGGACACUGAGAACAGCACAGGAAAACACACUGGAAAAAAGUAAUAAACCCAUUCCUCUCAAUGCUUAUCA
rnacentral:lncRNA from 1 species